GACGAACGCUGGCGGCGUGCUUAACACAUGCAAGUCGAACGAAGUGGCGAACGGGUGAGUAACGCGUAAUCAACCUGCCCUUCAGAGGGGGACAACAGUUGGAAACGACUGCUAAUACCGCAUACUGAAGGAGGGGAUUGCGUCUGAUUAGCUAGUUGGAGGGGUAACGGCCCACCAAGGCGAUGAUCAGUAGCCAGUCUGGGAUGAUGAACGGCCACAUUGGGACUGAGACACGGCCCAGACUCCUACGGGAGGCAGCAGUGGGAACUAAUUAACAAUGGACCAAAGUCUGAACCAGCAAUUCUGUGUGCACGAUGAAGUUUGUCGGAAUGUAAAGGGCUUUCAGUUGGGAAGCGGUACCAACAGAAGAAGUGACGGCUAAAUACGUGCCAGCAGCCGCGGUAAUAC
rnacentral:rRNA from 1 species